rnacentral:rRNA from 1 species
GACGAACGCUGGCGGCGUGCUUAACACAUGCAAGUCGAACGGAAAGGCCCUGCUUUUGUGGGGUGCUCGAGUGGCGAACGGGUGAGUAACACGUGAGUAACCUGCCCUUGACUUUGGGAUAACUUCAGGAAACUGGGGCUAAUACCGGAUAGGAGCUCCUGCUGCAUGGUGGGGGUUGGAAAGUUUCGGCGGUUGGGGAUAGACUCGCGGCUUAUCAGCUUGUUGGUGGGGUAGUGGCUUACCAAGGCUUUGACGGGUAGCCGGCCUGAGAGGGUGACCGGCCACAUUGGGACUGAGAUACGGCCCAGACUCCUACGGGAGGCAGCAGUGGGGAAUAUUGCACAAUGGGCGGAAGCCAGAUGCAGCAACGCCGCGUGCGGGAUGACGGCCUUCGGGUUGUAAACCGCUUUCGCCUGUGACGAAGCGUGAGUGACGGUAAUGGGUAAAGAAGCACCGGCUAACUACGUG